UAGGGAAUAUUGGACAAUGGGUGAGAGCCUGAUCCAGCCAUGCCGCGUGCAGGAAGAAGGCGUUAUGCGUUGUAAACUGCUUUUUGCCAGGGGAUAAAAAGACCGUGCGCGGUUAAUUGAAGGUACCUGGUGAAUAAGCCACGGCUAACUACGUGCCAGCAGCCGCGGUAAUACGUAGGAUCCGAGCGUUGUCCGGAUUUACUGGGUGUAAAGGGCGUGUAGGUGGGUCUCUAAGUCGGUGGUGAAAGCCCGCAGCUCAACUGCGGAAUUGCCAUUGAUACUGGAGGUCUUGAGUACGGCAGAGGGAAAUAGAAUUCAUGGUGUAGCGGUGAAAUGUGUAGAUAUCAUGAAGAAUACCGGUAGCGAAGGCGGUUUCCUGGUCCGUAACUGACACUGAGGCGCGAAAGCGUGGGGAGCAAACAGGAUUAGAUACCCACGUAGUCCCUGAGCGGGCUGGCAAGGCGCAU
rnacentral:rRNA from 1 species